GUACUUGCUUCAGCAGCACAUAUACUAAAAUUAGAAUGAUACAGAGAAGAUUAACAUGGCCCCUGCACAAGAAUAACAUGCAAAUUCAUGAAGUGUUCCAUAUUUUU
ensembl:snRNA U6 U6 spliceosomal RNA